AAAGAUUUAAGUUAAAAAAACUAAUAGCCUUCAAAGCUUUAAUUGAUCAAAGUCAAUCUUUA
rnacentral:tRNA from 1 species